rnacentral:tRNA from 1 species
UCUCGCUUAGCUCAGUCGGUUAGAGCAUCUGACUGUUAAUCAGAGGGUCGCUGGUUCAAGUCCAGCAGCGAGAG